GACGAACGCUGGCGGCGUGGAUUAGGCAUGCAAGUCGAACGGUAUCAUCCUUUCGGGGGUGAGAGAGUGGCGAACUGGUGAGUAACACGUAGGUUAUCUACCCUCAAGACGGGGACAACCCAGGGAAACUUGGGCUAAUACCGGAUGUGAGCAACUUUUAGUUGUUUGAAAGGUGGCGUAAGCUGUCGCUUGGGGAUGAGCCUGCGUCCUAUUAGUUAGUUGGUGAGGUAACGGCUCACCUAGGCAAUGAUAGGUAGGCGGCCUUAACGGGUGGUCGCCCACACUGGGAUUGAGAUACGGCCCAGACUCCUACGGGAGGCAGCAGUCGAGAAUAGUCUACAAUGGUCGGAAGACUGAUAGUGCGACGCCGCGUGAACGAUGAAUCCCUUCGGGGUGUAAAGUUCUUUUAUAUGUGAGCAGUGCUUCUUAUAUUAACAGUAUGGGGAAGAGAUAUUAGCAUAUGAAUAAGCAACGGCUAACUCCGUGCCAGCAGCCGCGGUAA
rnacentral:rRNA from 1 species